CAAGCAGGGGCGCUGAGUUUCGGCUGAGAUGAAGCGUGAGCUUCUGUCCCUUUGACCUGAUCCGGACAAUACCGGCGUAGGGAGCUGU
rnacentral:ncRNA from 1 species